GCGGGGGUCGUCUCGGGCUGCUCGGCCCCAGGACACGCGGAACCACAAGGCACAACAGCCCAACUGCCCGAACCCAAGAACUUGGAGAGCGAGUCUCAAGGCUCGUGGCCCGGCCCCCCUUCCACCGCGGAGGCGAGCAAAAGGCGAACUGGAAUCUGAGGACCAGUCAGGAGUUAGUGAAACACUCCAGGCGUGGGGAGAUGAAGGCCUGAACUAAUGAGGACUGCUGAUAUUUCUGUCUCCUCAACCAAUUCGGAGAAGACCUUAUGGGCAAAGGCCAUGGCCUUAUUUAUUCCCAGUGUCUAUCACAUAAUAUAUUUUGAACUAGAAUGUAAAAUAACAGUAAACAAGUGCAAGUCGGUAUGAUUAGAGGCUUAUGAAGUUCCAAACUGGAUUUGAAUAAGUACUUUUCAGUAAAUUAGCAAGUACUAUUAUUGAGACUAGUCACCUUGGGAUGCUAGAAACUCUUUUCAAAAAUAACAUCAUCAGUCAAAAUAGCUUUGGAAUUUCCCUUGUGCAAAUAUGUUCAGAGAAUGAUAAUAACAUUACUUUUUAGUAGUUGACCCAUAGAGUUGCCAGUUAGAGCAUUCUCUUUACUCACUAAAUAUAGUUCAUGGUGACUUGGCUCUAUACAAAUUUUAAACAUCACCUGCAAAGACUGGAUUUGUCACUAUUAAAAUAUAUUCAUAAAAAUGUGAAGAUACUUAUCCCCAAAGAGUGUCUCCAGAACUGACUGUGGCUAUGACUAAUGAAAAUAGGUAUGCAGUUUCCCAAGGUGACUGUUUUAAGAAAAACAAUUACUAUGUUCACAUAUAACUUUGGUUGAAUUUGUUAUAAUUUUAAAUGUUGCAUACAUUCCCACACAGGUAAGAGGAAAAAGAUUAGAUGUUAUGAAUGAAAGUAGCAGAAGGAUAUGAUCAAAGAGGUGUUUUAAAAGACAUCUUUUGAAGGAAGCCAUGGAUAUAAAAUAGUCAAAGCAAAAUGGGAGCUGAAAAUCAAGGGGAAACUGGAGUUGACAAAAAUUGAAGAGGAGAACAAGGCAGUCUGACUCAUCAGGUAGCAUUUUGGUGAAUAUUGCCAUAGGCCAAAUGCUGUGUGAGUAGCUGAGGAAUAAAGACAGACCAGUAACCAACAAUGAAAAUCCAGUAUGACGAGUAGAAUGUUGUGUGUUCACAGCUGACAGUCUAGGAGUCCUUUCCUAGCCUAGGAAUGGGCAGGGAAGGCUUCCCGGAAGACCUCAACAGCUGCACUGAGAACUGAAGAAUGGAAAGAUUAAUCUGGUAAGGAAGAAAAGGUUUCUCAUGUUGAGAGGUCUAAAGGCUUUUUCAGACAUGGGGAGCAAGUACAGAGGCAGGCAAACAAUAAAGACCUGCGCCUGUCCCCUAUAUUGGCAAAAUAGGAACUUAGGAGCUGUGGGGAUGCAGAAAAGAUGGGCAUUGGCUCCCAAGGCCAGUAAUUGUUGAGAUGAGAGAGGGAAUGUAGAUCAAAGAAUCAGCAAUGGCCUCAGUAUUUUAAAGCAUCAUGAGCUAUUCUCAGAUAUAGGAAAUACAAGAGAAGGAAAAGAAGGUUUGGUAGAGUAGAUAAAACAGACAAGCGACUAAUAUAGCUGAAAGAGGGAAAGCUAUGUUCGGGUGGAGCAGCCAGGCAACUAUUGAUGACUUUAGAACCCUGACUGAUUAGCAGGAUGGAAGUGCACUGAAAUACACUCUCUCCUGUUGAGCUCUCCCCAAAGCUAUGCUGAAAUUCCAUCGUGUGCAGUUAGGUGACUGUCAGGAGACAGGGGAUCAUGUGGUUGGUGGUGUCUCAAAACUUGAGCAGCAGCCGAAGACAUGAAAUGCCAGAAUCUGCCUGGAGAUGUCAGCCCCAAACUACUCAGCAGUUUAAUUACUCAGCUGGACUUGGGAAUGGUCUUUCCCAGGACCAUACUUCUAAUCAAAGCAAAUCCUACUUUAUAGGAGAAAUUGGCAAGAAACUACUCAGGUGAUCCUAUAACUAAUUAGUUAUUGCUUUUUCUUGAAGUUUCGUAAUGUUACUGAAUCAAAGAAAAAUGGGAGCCCACAAACUUUCAUCCGAAAACAAAUAAACAGAAGAACCUCAGUCUCUGGGGCCCAAUUAAAAUCUACAGACCCCUAGCAGUAGAAAAACAUGAAUAAGGACCAGCACUAGUUUUCAUUUUCAUCAAAACUAAAAA